CUGGCGCCGCUCAGACUGCUUGCGAGCUCAACAGCCAUGAAACCAGGGAUCAACAACUACCUUCGCGUGCCCUAUGUGCAUAUCACUCGACUCUGAGAUAAACCUGCUCAACUCCUCUUUUUUUGAGUCUCUCGAUCGAAUUGAUAUCUCUGACUUGGACACCUUUAUUGGUACGAGUUCCCCGAAUUCUUCACCACCAGUGCUUGUGCGAUCCACAGGAAAGAAUAUUCGUCUCUCCACACGGGACAGACAGCAUUUGCUCUCUACGCUAGAUCGCCCUGCUUCAUCUGGCCCCAGUUC